rnacentral:lncRNA from 1 species
CGCGCCUCCUCGACACAAGCCAACUUGGUUGCCCCAUUCACCGGUCUCAAAUCCUCAGCUGCUUUCCCAGUUACCAAAAAGACCAACAAUGACAUUACCUCCAUUGCAAGCAAUGGUGGAAGAGUGAACUGUAUGCAGGUAAUACACUAAUCCAUAAUCCAUAUUUUUGCAUACCCCAUCAAAAAUUAAUUGAAUUUCAUGUUAUGUUACAUAUGUAUGUACCUUAAGGUUACUUAAAUUAUUAUUCUUGUCAUGAAAAGAAGAAUAAUGUAACAAAAAAAUUGGACUAAAAUUCUAGAAAAAAAAAAUAUGUACAAUUGUAUACCAAAGUUGACAUAAUUAAUUAAAACUGUCAAAUUUUGUUAACCCUAAUAAUGAAUUAUAUGUAUAAUAUUUCUAGGUGUGGCCACCAAUUGGCAAGAAGAAGUUUGAGACACUUUCAUACCUUCCACCUCUUACUGAGGAACAAUUGGCUAAGGAAGUAGAAUACCUUAUCAGGAAGGGAUGGGUUCCUUGUUUGGAAUUUGAGCUUGAGGUUAAUCUAUUUACAUUGCAAUCCUUUCUUUCUUCCUUUUUAAAUUAGAGUUUAAGUAUUAUACAUCGUCGGCGAAAAACUUUUUUACACAUACAACCAAUCAGAUUUUUCAUGACACCACUUUUUUGUAUAUACUUAUUCCUAAAAUAUCUCAUGAUGCCACUUUAUGCCACUUUACAUAUAUAGUAAAUAUAUAGUCUAUGCUAUUUUUAUAGCAUUUUGCAGAAUUUGGAUUGCAUGUAGUCGGCAAUCCUCUCAUUCACUCAGCCGGUACAUCAUUGGUCGUUGGAAUUUGAUCAGGAUCCAACAACUACAUGAUGUGCCGGCUCAAUGAAUGCGGAGAAUUUCUGACUGCAAACAAUCCGAUUUUGUGUUACAAGCGAUGAAUUUUGUACGGUUGAUGUGUUAAUUUGUUGUUUGAAUUGUUGUGUUUUAU